rnacentral:rRNA from 1 species
AUUGAACGCUGGCGGCAGGCUUAACACAUGCAAGUCGAACGAGAGGCGGACGGGGGAGUAAUGCUUGGGAAUCUAGCUUAUGGAGGGGGAUAACUACGGGAAACUGUAGCUAAUACCGCGUACCAUAGGAUGAGCCCCAGUGGGAUGAGGUAGUUCGUGAGGUAAGGGCGCACCAAGAUGACGAUCUCUAGCUGGUCUGAGAGGAUGACCAGCCACACUGGGACUGAGCAACGGUCCAGACUCCUACGGGAGGCAGCAGUGGGGAAUAUUGCGCAAUGGGGGAAACCUGACGCAGCCAUGCCGCGUGAAUGAAGAAGGCCUUAGGGUUGUAAAGUUCUUUCGGUAGCGAGGCGUUAACUACAGAAGAAGCACCGGCUAACUCCGUGCCAGCCGCCGCGGUAAUAC